GUUCCCAUGGUGUAGUGGUCACUGCGUUCGCCUUGCAAGCGGAAGACCCGGGUUUGAUUCCCCGUGGGGCA
rnacentral:tRNA from 1 species